rnacentral:lncRNA from 1 species
UUCAUUCACUCCACAAACAUUUUUUAAGAUAUCUAUAGAGCACUAGGGCAAAAGAAAUAGCAAAAACAAAGACAAUCACUUUGCAGAAAGUCUUUCCUGAGCCGCUGCCUAAUUGAACUUUCUCUGACCUUCCGUAGCGAGCAUGCCUAGAAGUUACAAUUGUCACUGACCAUGGAACAAGCUUCAUGGUAGAUGCUGGGGAAGUAAGAGAAAUUCACAGCCUACUGUAGAAGCAGUAUCAUCCCUGCAUCCCGGAUCACUAAACAUAAUCUCACACUGAGAGACGUUUUCUGUAAGAGGUUAACUUGUUGUAUGAUGAAGCAGGAUAUUCAAUAUGGUAGGCUGAAGAUGCCCAACGUGAUUGCUCCACCAGAAGCCAUAAUCUGGUCACUUUGCCAAGGGUGAAGAAAUUUGAUUGGAGGAGAACUCAGUGUGAUGGUGAAGCACUGAUCUAAGCUCCUGCUUCAUUCUUCUCUGCAUUAGAUAUCUCCCUUCGCCUCUCCAGAUCUGCUGUCCUGAAUUCGCACACACUGCUAUGUGCUGAGAAGUUGGUAUGCUUCAUACCAGCAAUAUUCUAUACGCUUUGAUUGAUGGUACCAG